AUUGAACGCUGGCGGCAGGCCUAACACAUGCAAGUCGAACGAGUGGCGGACGGGUGUGUAAUGUCUGGGACACUGCCUGAUGGAGGGGGAAAACUACUGGAAACGGUAGCUAAUACCGCAUACCAUCAGAUGUGCCCAUAUGGGAUUAGCUUGUUGGUGGGGUAACGGCUCACCAAGGCGACGAUCCCUAGCUGGUCUGAGAGGAUGACCAGCCACACUGGAACUGAGACACGGUCCAGACUCCUACGGGAGGCAGCAGUGGGGAAUAUUGCACAAUGGGCGCAAGCCUGAUGCAGCCAUGCCGCGGGUAUGAAGAAGGCCUUCGGGUUGUAAAGUACUUUCAGCGGGGAGGCGUUACCCGCAGAAGAAGCACCGACUAACUCCGUGCCAGCCGCCGCGGUAAUUC
rnacentral:rRNA from 1 species